GGGCGAUUAGCUCAAUUGGCAGAGCGCUACCCUUACACGGUAGAUGUUACUGGUUCAAGUCCAGUAUCGCCCA
rnacentral:tRNA from 1 species